rnacentral:rRNA from 1 species
AUUGAACGCUGGCGGCAGGCCUAACACAUGCAAGUCGAGCGAGCGGCGGACGGGUGAGUAAUGUAUGGGGACUGCCCGAUAGAGGGGGAUAACCACUGGAAACGGUGGCUAAUACCGCAUACUAUCGGAUAACCCAUAUGGGAUUAGCUAGUAGGUGGGGGAAAGGCUCACCUAGGCGACGAUCGCUCGCGGGUCUGAGAGGAUGAUCGGCCACACUGGGACGGAGAAACGGCCCAGAUGCCUACGGAGGCAGCAGUGGGGAAUAUUGCACAAGGGGCGAAAGCCUGAUGCAGCCAUGCGGCGUGUAUGAAGAAGGCCUUAGGGUUGUAAAGUACUUUCAGCGGGGAGGCGGUAAAGGAAGAAGAAGCACCGGCUAACUCCGUGCCAGCAGCCGCGGUAAUUG